CUCAGGACGAACGCUGGCGGCGCGCCUAACACAUGCAAGUCGAACGGAGCUGUCUGUUGGAAGUUUUCGGAUGGAAGAUAGAGAGCUUAGUGGCGGACGGGUGAGUAACGCGUGAGCAACCUGCCUUCGAGAGGGGAAUAGCACCUGGAAACGGGUGGUAAUACCGCAUAAGCCGGGAAUACCGCAUGGUAUAACCGGAAAAGGAGCAAUCCGCUUGAAGAUGGGCUCGCGCCCGAUUAGAUAGUUGGUGAGGUAACGGCUCACCAAGUCGACGAUCGGUAGCCGGACUGAGAGGUUGAACGGCCACAUUGGGACUGAGACACGGCCCAGACUCCUACGGGAGGCAGCAGUGGGGGAUAUUGCACAAUGGGGGAAACCCUGAUGCAGCGACGCCGCGUGAGUGAAGACGGCCUUCGGGUUGUAAAGCUCUGUCAUUCGGGACGAAAGAAAUGACGGUACCGAAGAAGGAAGCUCCGGCUAACUACGUGCCAGCAGCCGCGGUAAUACGUAGGGAGCAAGCGUUGUCCGGAAUUACUGGGUGUAAAGGGAGCGUAGGCGGGAACGCAAGUUGGAAGUGAAAGGCAUGGGCUCAACCCAUGGAAUGCUUUCAAAACUGUGUUUCUUGAGUGAAGUAGAGGCAGGCGGAAUUCCUAGUGUAGCGGUGAAAUGCGUAGAUAUUAGGAGGAACACCAGUGGCGAAGGCGGCCUGCUGGGCUUUAACUGACGCUGAGGCUCGAAAGCGUGGGUAGCAAACAGGAUUAGAUACCCUGGUAGUCCACGCUGUAAACGAUGAUUACUAGGUGUGGGGAGUGUUAGGCUUUCCGUGCCGGAGCAAACGCAAUAAGUAAUCCACCUGGGGAGUACGGCCGCAAGGCUGAAACUCAAAGGAAUUGACGGGGGCCCGCACAAGCAGUGGAUUAUGUGGUUUAAUUCGAAGCAACGCGAAGAACCUUACCAGGUCUUGACAUCGGAUGCAUACCAUAGAGAUAUGGGAAGUCUUUCGGGACAUCCAGACAGGUGGUGCAUGGUUGUCGUCAGCUCGUGUCGUGAGAUGUUGGGUUAAGUCCCGCAACGAGCGCAACCCCUAUUGAUAGUUGCUACGCAAGAGCACUCUAUCGAGACUGCCGUUGACAAAACGGAGGAAGGUGGGGAUGACGUCAAAUCAUCAUGCCCCUUAUGACCUGGGCUACACACGUAAUACAAUGGCGUAGAAACAGAGGGAAGCAAGACCGCGAGGUGGAGCAAAACCCUAAAAGGCGUCUUAGUUCGGAUUGCAGGCUGCAACUCGCCUGCAUGAAGUCGGAAUUGCUAGUAAUCGCGGAUCAGCAUGCCGCGGUGAAUACGUUCCCGGGCCUUGUACACACCGCCCGUCACACCAUGGGAGUCGGUAACACCCGAAGUCAGUAGUCUGACCCGAAAGGGAGGGCACUGCCGAAGGUGGGAUUGGUAACU
rnacentral:rRNA from 1 species